GGUUCCGUAGUGUAGUGGUUAUCACGUUCGCUUCACACGCGAAAGGUCUCCGGCUCGAUCCCGGACGGAACCA
rnacentral:tRNA from 1 species